rnacentral:tRNA from 1 species
CUCGCGAUAGCUCAGUUGGUAGAGCGGAGGACUGUAGUGAGUUGUUAAAAUCUGUAAUCCUUAGGUCGGUGGUUCGAAUCCGUCUCGCGAGA